GGCUCAGAACGAACGCUCGCGACGUGCCUAACACAUGCAAGUCGAGCGGACCUGCGAGAGCUUGCUCCCGCAGGUUAGCGGCAGACGGGUGAGUAACACGUGGGUAACCUGUCCUCGAGUGGGGGAUAACCCGGGGAAACUCGGGCUAAUACCGCAUCACAUCAUCGAGUCCUUGGGCUUGGUGAUCAAAGCUGGGUUUACCUGGCGCUUGAGGAGGGGCCCGCGCCCGAUUAGCUUGUUGGUGGGGUAAUGGCCCACCAAGGCUGCGAUCGGUAGCCGACCUGAGAGGGUGACCGGCCACACUGGGACUGAGACACGGCCCAGACUCCUACGGGAGGCAGCAGUGAGGAAUUAUGCGCAAUGGGGGCAACCCUGACGCUGCGACGUCGCGUGGGUGAUGAAGGCCUUCGGGUCGUAAAACCCUGUCGAGAGGGAAGAACAGUACGGGUGUUAAUACCAUCCGUGCUCGACGGUACCUCUGGAGGAAGCCCCGGCUAACUCCGUGCCAGCAGCCGCGGUAACACGGAGGGGGCGAGCGUUGUUCGGAAUUACUGGGCGUAAAGCGCGCGCAGGCGGCGGGGCAAGUCGGACGUGAAAGCCCUCGGCUCAACCGAGGAACUGCGUCCGAUACUGCUCUGCUUGAGUCCGGUAGGGGAUAGCGGAAUUCCCGGUGUAGCGGUGGAAUGCGUAGAUAUCGGGAGGAACACCGAUGGCGAAGGCGGCUAUCUGGGCCGGUACUGACGCUGAGGCGCGAAAGCUAGGGGAGCAAACAGGAUUAGAUACCCUGGUAGUCCUAGCUGUAAACGAUGGGCACUACGUGUCGUGGGUCUCUACCCCCACGGUGCCGCAGCUAACGCAUUAAGUGCCCCGCCUGGGGAGUACGGUCGCAAGCCUGAAACUCAAAGGAAUUGACGGGGGCCCGCACAAGCGGUGGAGCAUGUGGUUUAAUUCGAUGCAACGCGAAGAACCUCACCUGGGUUUGAACUGGCGUGGAAAGCCUUAGAGAUAAGGCCCCUUCUUCGGAA
rnacentral:rRNA from 1 species